AGUUAAUUCCUCACAUUUUGCUUAGUUAAUUCCUUAACGAAUCGAUUUUUAACUCAAUUUCUAUUUUCUUAGGUACAUUGGAGUAAAUGAUGGUGAAAUGAGCAUUAGGUCCACACUUACCUAUAAAUGGUGGAGAAAAAUGGAAAUGUACUAAAAUGUCAAUUUUACACAUUUUCCUACUCCGGCUAGGAGAAACCAAGCCAAGCAAGGAAGAAGGAGCGGCCGCCGGACCAAAUGAACUUCAAAUGAGCUGAAACUUUCCAGAUCCAUUCUACACAUCCUAAGGAUCAUUUCUUAUGAAGAGUGCCAGAGCUAUAAUUGAGUGGAAGGCCUUCAAACAGUCAGCCCAAUUUCCUGCAGAAGCAAAACUGGAAAACUGGACCUGUAAGAGGUCCAGCAGCAUUUCCAGCCCAAAUGCAUGGAAAUAAAUUCUGAAAUUUUACCAAAAUGAUCUACACUCAUGGUAGAUCAUUUCAUAUGAAGAAGUCACGAGCCAAAACUGAAUUCCUGUUGGAGAAAUAAUUGAAGGAAUAAAAGGACAGAAACUGACCUAAAACAGCUCAACACCACAUGUUCAAGUUUCCUACCCACAUGAAGAAAGCUAGAUGCUUUUCUCUUUUUCCUUGGAUAUAUUUUUCUGCUCCAAUAGAUCAUCAUCACUUCCAUACUUCUGCACCUUCAUGCCUUGCUUUCAUUUCAUCAUUACUCCAUCUUUUCCAUAUUUUACAAACCACUUUCAUUAUUUUUCUUCCAUUUAUCAUUUCACUCUUCUUUUUCUUCCCUAUAUAAACACCUUCUCCUCUCACUCUAAGUACAUUCCUUCAUCCAUUUCAUCUUCUUUGUCUCUCCAUUUCCAUUCCAUUUUUCUCUCCAUUCUCUAGUUGCAAAAUUCUGCGUUUUCAAGUAAGAAGAAGAAGAAGAAGAAUGAGCCGGGAAUAUCAUAUCCUCCAUCGUCCACCUUGAAGGCUUGCUUCCAAGAUUCAAGAUUUCAACGUUUCAAGCACUCCAUCUCCAUCUCCAACUCACGGUACCGUCUGGCUGCAAGACGUAAAAUACAAGCGCUGCUUGGGAGGCAACCCAAUUCAGAAUAUAAUCAGAUUUGCUUUCUCUUCCCCUUUUACUCCUCCAUUUUCUUUUUGUUUUAGUAGUUAUUUUCGUAAAUUUCAUCCCUAUAUGCUUACUUAUUUCAUUGCAUGCUUUUAAUUGAUUACAUUGAGGAUAAUGCAAUAUUUAAGUGUGGGGGAAGGGAUUUAUAUUUUUGUCUUUCAUUUUGAAUCCUAUAAAUAUUUUUGUCUUUCAUUUUGAGUCCUAAAUAUUUUUGAAUCCUUUAUUUUAAAAAAAAAAAAUAAUAAUAAUAAUAAUAAUAAUAAUAAUAAUAAAAUAAAAUAAAAAUAAUAAAAUAAAAUAAAAUAAAAAUAAUAAUAAAUAAAAAAAUAAUAAUAAAAUAAAAUUUAAAAAUAAUAAUAAAAAAAAAAAAAUGCAUUCAUUCAGUCUUAUUAAAUUCAGCUAUUUACAAAAAAAAAAAAAAAAUAAUAAUAAUAAUAAUAAUAAUAAUAAUAAUACUCUAUACUAAGCCAUGUCUGCAUCUCUGUAGGAGUUGAGGCUGAGCUCAAGGGAAAUGUGAGAGCCACCGCCAUAACCGCUACCUCUCUCGGAAGUAGUCUUCAUGAUGCCCAAGAUGUCCUCACCAUGCAUGGGGAAUAGUGGAAGGGUUUCAAUCUCCUGGUGAUCUCCUCCUCGUUGUUGCAGGGAUGUUUGUCCUCCUGUUGUGCCAAAAGAGUUGUACUGGUAUUAGUGUUGAAGUGUGAGGAAGAAUAUGAAACAAAAUUUAAAUCAAGAAAUCCUUCAUUACCAGUAGAAUCGGUGGAACCAAAGUUGAGAUUAAUGGAUCUACCAUCAUCAGUAGAACUAGUGGACCCAAAAUUGAUGUCAAUGGAUCCACCAGCUGGCCCAAAAUUGAUGUCGAUGGAUCCACCAGCACCAGUAGAACCAGUGGACCCAAAAUUGAGAUCAAUGGAUCCACCAGUACCAGGAGAACUAGUUCCCAUGGGCACUUGAGCAGCCUGAUUGCACCUCUUCAUCUGCUUCUCUCGAGCCCUGACAUUCUGGAACCAAAAAUAAAUGUUCUUGCCCUCAACAUGUCCAUACUGGUUCAGCUGGAGACAGAUCUCGUGAAUGUGCUCUGUAGUUGGGCACUUAACUCCCUUGUCGUAGUAAAGAUCCUUGAGGAUCCUUAUUUGAUCUGGAGUAGGAACCCACCUGGCACGGCUUCGCCAGAAAUCUGUGUUGGCACUACUCCCGGCUGCUUGGUUGUUUCCUCCAUCCUCGAUUUGUUGCGGGGUUUGUAGCUCCAUCAGUUGCAGAGUUCGUGGUUCCAUGGUGAUGGGUUGAGGGGAUGUGAAGAUCGAAGAGUAAAGUUGUCAAGUGUUUGAAGGAGUUGUUGUUAAAGGGAUUAAGGAUGAUGAUGGUGUGUUGGAGAUCUGAAAGUUCAUAGGAAAGAUGGGAUUGAAUCAACUAGAUGGGAGAGAAGAUCAGAAGAGAAGGAUUGAAUCGAAGAAGAAAUAUUUUGAGUUUUGAAAGAAGAGGAAAGCUGAAGAGUUGGGAGAGAGGGGCUGGAACUCAGGAGAGAUUUUCGUUCCUUUGGAGUGAACAAUUGCGCCCUCAGAAUGCACCUAUUUAUAGAGCGAGGUGAGCAGAUCUCCACCGUUGGAUGGACGAUUCCUGUGAUUCAUUCUACGCGUUGGAUUAAAGUCGCCCUGAAACCCGGAAAAGUUGUUGGCGCGUGGAGAGCGUGUAAGGGGACCGAGGGAAUCUCGAGGCGCUGUGGCAGACAGCUGUAGCCGAAAGCAGAUUUGACUGCCGUAAAUCACGGAAGGGAUAAGCCGUGACACAAGUGGGCCGUACUUGGGCCUGUCUCGGAUCAAGGCAUCACUGUAGCUGUGGGUGGAGGCCUGAUGGGCCGAGUUUCAGAAACAGUUUUGGACAUGAUGGGCCGAGUUUCUGAAACAGUUUUGGAUGAGUUGGGCCGGAUUUCUGUAACAGUUUUGGAUACGUUGGGCUGGGUUUCUGCAACAGUCUUGGAUGUUUUGUGCCGAAUUGUUGAAACAAUUGAAACAGUUGGUUUAAAUAAAAGGAUUGGUAUGGAUAAUAACGUGAGCAGCCGUGCUCGAGUGGUUGAGUGUAAAGUUCGUGUACAAGAGGUCUGAGGUUCGAACCUCGCCUCUCGUUUAUUUUUAUUAUGUUCGUUUAUGACAUAAUAAGUAUAAAAUUUGUACACAUUAUAUUAAGCACAGCUUGUGCUCCAGUGGUUGGGGACAAAGGUUUCGUGCAGCAGGUUAAGGUUUCGAACCUUGCCUCCCCCGCUUUUUUUUUUUAUUUAUGUCACUCCAUCAGAACCCUCCUCCGAAGGCUGAAACCAGCAAGAAGGCUGUCACUCGCCCGCAUACCGCUCCUCCAAAGGAGUAAAUGGAGCUACAAGUCUAGGCUGAAAGACUUUAAACAUUAAGCGCUGCAUGGGAGGCAACCCAUUUCAACCGUAGCUGUGGAGGAGCCAUCAACGCAGAUUUGCUCUCUUAAACUCUAUCUCCUCUAUUACUAUUUUCUGAUUGUAUCUUUGUUAUUUGCGUUUUUAGUUUUUGUUUUUAGGUUUUCUUGAGUUAAUCAUUCCAUUCACAUGAUAAUUGUUCAUUGCAUGCUCUAACUUGUUUAACAUUGAGGACAAUGUAUGAUUUAAGUGUGGGGGGAAGGAUUAAUGCUUGUAGUUAGUUUUUGUCAUAAAAAGAAAACAAAAUAAAAAAUCAGAAAAAUCAGAAAAUUAAAUUAAAAAAAAAAAAAAAAAAUCGUUAACUUUGUUUUAGGUUUUAUAUUCAUGUUUUGGUUUUUGUUUAUCUUUGUUCUUUAGUUUGUUUGUUUUGUUUGUUUGUUGUUAGAGUCAAAAUGAAUUUUGGGUAAAUAUCUUCUUCAUCGUAGGCGCAUCCAAUGGGAUGUGAUGUCUAAAGGUCUAGUUUGGAUAUGAGAAGUGCUGACAAAGGGUCUCGUCCCCUGUAAAUCAAGUGAGCUGAGCUCCGCCAAAAUCGUUCCUCUCUUCACCUGGUCAUGUUCCAAAGGAGUUACCGAAAGGAGAAGAGAAAUAUCCCUAAGUCCAAAACGUUUUUUUUCUUGUAUGUUGCAUCACUUUAUGUGUUGUUCUUGUUUUUGUUUUGUUUUGAGUCUUAGGAUGCCUUUCAACUGUCUGGGAUGAUUCUAUAUCUCUGAAAUCAUGACUAAAAGAGGAUCACAACAUUGAGAUGAUUUUAACAUGGUAUUCUUUGGUUAAUUGAGAUAUAUGAAAAAUGUAUGCACUUGUAGUGGAUAUGGAUUGCAUGACCUUGGUACAGAAUAUGAGCAUGUUAAGAUGAGUUGUGAUUCAUAAAAUCCAUGUGAAAUAAUUGAACCAUGUCCAUUUUUCUUGGAGUGAAAUGAAAAAUAUAUUCUUAAUUUCUUGGCGAUGUUUUGAUGAUCUCAUUAUUCUUUCAUCUUGAUUGACUGCUUGCCAUAGAUUAAGUUUAAUUGACUAGAGAAUGCUAGAAUUCGCUCUUGUGCUUGUUGAGACGUGAUAUCAAUACAUGGCCCUGAUUCUGGAAGGGAUAGAGGUUCUCUAGGAAUUACCACCAUUGCUAAAUAAACUUGUGUCCCCAUUUGUGCCCGUCGUGGGACCCCCCUAGAUAAACCCCUUUGAGCCUACAUUAAGCCUUUUCUUUCAUCACCCUAAAAAUCCUUAACCCCUGAACCUUAGUAUAGUGAUAAUCCUACCCUUUGUUCUAAAAACUUAGUGGAGCUAUCUUUUGAGACAUACUACAUGGGUUUGGUGCUAAGGAUGAAGAUUGAGAAGAGGUGAAAGUUCAAGUGUGGGGAUAGACUUGUCCAUAAAGAAAAAGAUAUGUUGAAGCCGUGAAAAAAUGAAAAGAAAAGAGAAAAAUUGUGUACGGCUAAAAAGAAAAAGAAAGAAAAAAAAUAUAUAUGUUUAUGGACUUUCAUCCCCCAUACUUAGUGAUUUUGGAGUUUGCUUUGAAUUGAAGGCCCACUACAGAAAAAUUUGACCUUUGUCCAUUUCACUAGAGUUCAAAGGAAGUUUAGAAGGAAGGUUGGGCCCAACAUGAAGACAUUAGCCCUUUUAUUUUACCUCUAUGGGUGUGGCGUUUUGAGUUGGUGGAUUUCUAGAAGUCUCUCUACAUCUGCAUGAGCUCUGCUAGGUUUUUAGGAUACUUUGACAUUCCAUACCUUUCAUUUCUGAAAACUUUGAGCCUUAGCUCCAUUACAACCCUUUGAGAAGACCUUCUUGAUCCUUAAGAUGGGACAACCUUUGAUGUGGAGAUGAGUUACAAGAGUUGAACCUAUGGCUUGGGUCCAUUCGUGCAAGUAGUUGAUAUCCUUCAUGAGAUCUUUUGAAAAAAAAAUUAUAUUCACAAAGUGCUUUUCGUUUCUUAUAUAUGUGAGCUAUUUGACUGCCUUAAAAUAUGUUCUCUCACAUAUAAAUGAGUGAUUAUAAGCUUUUAAGCAUUGCCUUGAUCUGAGAGAAGAAAGAGUGGAUAUACCUUAUGAGGAUAUGAAUCAUACUUGUCUGAAGCAUGCUAAGCUAAACCCCAUCACCAUUGUUACAACCAAGUCCUACUUGUGUAUGUGUGGAUCAUAUGUUUUAAUUAACUCUCGAAUGCUUAACAUUGAUUCUUGGUUGAGUGCUAAUCUUGGUGUUGUGAAAGUAAGAGAUUUCUGAGACAAUAUGUUAAAGGGCAAUAGAGGUCUUUGUGAUGUCAACAUCUUGGUCUUUGUCUUUGAAUUUACUCUUUUAUGUGUGACAUUUUUUUCUUUGUGUUUUGCUUUGUGUUUUACGUUUUUGGUUUCUUUGAGUCUUUGUGUUUUUGUUUCCAUACUUAGUCAUUUUUUUUCGUUGGUUUCUUUGUUUUGUGUCAUAGUCUUUUUGGUUUGUUAGUUUUUGAUUUUGCUAAGGGACUAGCAAAAGCUAAGUGUGGGGGAAUUUGAUAGGAGCAUUUUAAAGUGGUAUUUUAAUAGUUAAUUCCUCACAUUUUGCUUAGUUAAUUCCUUAACGAAUCGAUUUUUAACUCAAUUUCUAUUUUCUUAGGUACAUUGGAGUAAAUGAUGGUGAAAUGAGCAUUAGGUCCACACUUACCUAUAAAUGGUGGAGAAAAAUGGAAAUGUACUAAAAUGUCAAUUUUACACAUUUUCCUACUCCGGCUAGGAGAAACCAAGCCAAGCAAGGAAGAAGGAGCGGCCGCCGGACCAAAUGAACUUCAAAUGAGCUGAAACUUUCCAGAUCCAUUCUACACAUCCUAAGGAUCAUUUCUUAUGAAGAGUGCCAGAGCUAUAAUUGAGUGGAAGGCUUCAAACAGUCAGCCCAAUUUCCUGCAGAAGCAAAACUGGAAAACUGGACCUGUAAGAGGUCCAGCAGCAUUUCCAGCCCAAAUGCAUGGAAAUAAAUUCUGAAAUUUUACCAAAAUGAUCUACACUCAUGGUAGAUCAUUUCAUAUGAAGAAGUCACGAGCCAAAACUGAAUUCCUGUUGGAGAAAUAAUUGAAGGAAUAAAAGGGCAGAAACUGACCUAAAACAGCUCAACACCACAUGUUCAAGUUUCCUACCCACAUGAAGAAAGCUAGAUGCUUUUCUCUUUUUCCUUGGAUAUAUUUUUCUGCUCCAAUAGAUCAUCAUCACUUCCAUACUUCUGCACCUUCAUGCCUUGCUUUCAUUUCAUCAUUACUCCAUCUUUUCCAUAUUUUACAAACCACUUUCAUUAUUUUUCUUCCAUUUAUCAUUUCACUCUUCUUUUUCUUCCCUAUAUAAACACCUUCUCCUCUCACUCUAAGUACAUUCCUUCAUCCAUUUCAUCUUCUUUGUCUCUCCAUUUCCAUUCCAUUUUUCUCUCCAUUCUCUAGUUGCAAAAUUCUGCGUUUUCAAGUAAGAAGAAGAAGAAGAAGAAUGAGCCGGGAAUAUCAUAUCCUCCAUCGUCCACCUUGAAGGCUUGCUUCCAAGAUUCAAGAUUUCAACGUUUCAAGCACUCCAUCUCCAUCUCCAACUCACGGUGUAAUUCAUUCUUUUUCCUUAUUUAAUUUCGUAGGAAUUUGUUUCUAGUUAACAAUAACAUUAAGGGCAAAGUUUAAGCCCAAUUUCUAUGUUUGAAUAAAAAUUGUGAUUUCUUUAUGUUGAUUUUUAUGUUGCUUAUGUGAGAUUGCUUAAUUGAUUUUGGAUUAUGGAAAACUUUUAUAUGUACGUGUUCUUUGAUGGCCAACUUAGGAUAUAUGCAUGUAAUUGGUGCUAGAUUUAAGUAGUAAAGGCUUUGGACAAAAGUCGAAAUCAAUUAAGGAGGAUUGCAAAUAGAUGGACUUUUUCAUACUAAGUUGUGCACUUUGGUUGACAUCCUUUCUUUGUUCUUCAUGCAUUGAAUGUGUUCUUGAUUAGCUAGUUUUCUAGACUAUGAUUGCAUGUUCAAUAGGUUUAAUUUAGGUGCUUUCACUUAGAUUAAAUAUUCAAGGAAAGUAAAAUAUGGGAAAUCAUUUGCUUUGAAUGUUUCACAUGGUCAACUUAUUUCUCAUGACAUAGAUAAUCAACUAUAGGAAUUGUAAUUGGAUUUCAUUCAUAUGAUUGUAGUUUUGAUCUUUGUUUCUUGUGUUCCACCCUUGUAUAUGUGUUUUUACACUUUCUUUAUUUCAUUUAAUUUUAAUUCCAAUUCUAUAAUCUCAAAACCCCCCUUUUUAUAUUAACUUGUAUAUAUUUUUAUUCUUUAUUUUAUUUUUGUACAUAAUACUUUUUACUUUAUUAUUUUAAUUCUUUAUUUGUUUUUUUUUUGACAAUGACAGGUGUACCCUCAAUCCCCGGAAUAGAACGAUCCCUAUUUGCUUAUACUACUAACGAUAUUUUCAGGGUUAAAUUAUGCGCUUGCUUUGAGCGUAUCAAUUUUUGAGCGUAUCAAUUUUCGAGGCAGAUUAUACAAUAGUGAGAGUUCUUCAAGUGAUACCUGAAGAUGAAUACAAGCAAAAGACUUACCCUAGUAUCUUCUCUCUACAAAGGGACAUGUGGACAACAAAAAGACUACGAAAAUUCAAACUUUGGCUGUCUCAAUUUGUAGGUUGUUUGCAUGAAAGGUUGUAUUUUUGUGAUUCAGAUUCUGCCUCUCUCGUGACUUUCAACCUGAGCAUGGAGGAUGUCAGGCUGAUUCCUCUGCAAUUGGAAUUGGCGGGACAUGUUCUCACUUUUGGAGUUGCAAGGGAGAAAGUUAUACCUGAGCAGGUGAGAGAAGUCUUGCUUAUAUGCUGCCAUAAUCGAAAGGAUGAAAUAUCAAGUCUUUGGAGGCUUAGAAAGGAAAAAGAUGGGGAUAUCUUUGAGAACCUAGCAGUGUUGGGUAAUGAGUGGCUGUUGCAGCCACUCUCCUAUUUGCUUGGUGAUCCGGACAUGAUCUUGCUACUACAAGACAGGCGAGCAAUACAAGUGUACAAUGUGGUUCAGCAGUCCAGAACAGAAAUCUACAAUGAUGGGACUGAGGAAGGAGAACGUGGUGGAAUUGCUGCAAUUGGAUUUUAUGAUACCAGUGUGUCUGCACCUCUUCAAGAAGAAAUUGUCACGAUACAGACAUCCGGAACCAAAAAGUGGAAGAAGAAGUAUGACCCUGUGGGAUCUCCAUAGAAGCUGCACAAGAAGGAUGCAGUGGAGAAGUUAAAGAAGGAUUGAAUGUGCCUGGGUGAGAAGAGAGUGCAGAGGAGAGAUUUAGGCAUGACAUCUGUUCCUAGCUUUAGCUAGCUUGAGAGAUUUAGGCGUGACAUUUGUUCCUAGCUUUAGCUAGCCACAACAAAUGUUUCAAGCUCAGAAACAUUUGUUGUUGCUAGCUUGUAGCUAGCUAGCUUCAAUCUUUACAGCUUUUGUUUUUUGGUCAUAUUAGGCAUGACAUUAUUGACAUGCGACACAAUUUGUCUCUAGCUUGUAGCUAGCUUCUAUUUUUUCAGCCUUUUUCUUUUAGUAACAGAAUCUGUCAUACGACACAACUUGUGUGUAGCCUUUGAUUGAACUAGCAACAUGUUUGAGUUUUCUCGACCACCAAUUUUCUUUCGUCA